rnacentral:misc_RNA from 1 species
AAGUCGUAACAAGGUUUCCGUAGGUGAACCUGCGGAAGGAUCAUUAGUAAUUGAUUUAGAGUGGGCAACCACUCUUUUUCUCUGUGAACUGCUCGUCUCGGUUAAUUUCCUAAGCCUAGGGAAUUUAAUUGGGGUUGAACGCUAGCACUAUUAAAUCCCUAGGGAUUUAAUUAAGCUGGGCACUACCUCAAUUAAAUUCCUAAAGCCCAAGGAAAUUAGUCGAAAUGGGGGCACUGCCUCGCAUUUAUUCCGCAAGGAAUUUAGGCGGGGUAGGGCUUAUUGAACUCUGAUAUUUUUAAACUAAUGUAAGCAAUGCUAGCUUCGGCCAGCUGCGCUUAAAACAUUAAACCAAGACAACUUUCAGCAAUGGAUCUCUUGGCUCUU